UGGGGAGUAGUCUAACGGUAGGACGGCGGGCCCUGGACCCGCAAAUCCCGGUUCGAAUCCAGGCUCCCCAGCCA
rnacentral:tRNA from 1 species